CGCUCCCUCCCGGAAGGCCUCGGGGCAGAGCGGUCCCACCCACUGCGCGCUGAACAGAGCCCGCGUUUCCGCAGAGCUGGAACUCCCGGCUCGGGGUCUCUUCCCUCCUCCGUCACGGAACUGCCCCGGAGCCCGAGGGGAGGGCGGCCUCACUGAGGCUGCCGGCUCUGGAGGGGCCCCGGCGGCCGAAGCCGUGAUAGUCGAGGGGACGGCGGGCCGGGACCCCUGAUUAAUCAGGAAGGUUCCCUGACCUCUGGUGGUGAAAGUGAUGAUGAAAGCAACCAAGGAAGCCCAGCAGAAGCCUAUCACGGGGCUGGGGCUCCCUCUGGAGGAAGCCAGCCAUCAUGUAGUGAGGACAUUCAAUCAAGUAGCAGGUGGACAGACAGGCCCAUGCAGGGAGGAAAUGAGGCCUCCCACUAACAACCAGCACCACCCUGACAGCCAGGUAAGGGAGUGAACCAUCUUGGAAGUGGACCCUGCAGCCUCAGUCCAGCCAUCAGAUGACUGCAGCCCUGGCCGAUAUCUUGAGGACCUCAUGAGAGACCCAGAGCCAGAACUGCCCAAGAUAUCCCCCUAAAGGCUUGACUCAGAAAUUGUGAGGAGUAAAUGUUUAUUGUUGUUUUGAGCCACUA